rnacentral:tRNA from 1 species
GUCAGGGAAUAGUUUAAAUAGAACUUCAGCUUUGGGUGUUGAUAG